AUUGAACGCUGGCGGCAUGCCUUACACAUGCAAGUCGAACGGCAGCACGGGAGCAAUCCUGGUGGCGAGUGGCGAACGGGUGAGUAAUAUAUCGGAACGUGCCCAGUAGUGGGGGAUAGCCCGGCGAAAGCCGGAUUAAUACCGCAUACGACCUGAGGGUGAAAGCGGGGGAUCGCAAGACCUCGCGCUAUUGGAGCGGCCGAUAUCAGAUUAGCUAGUUGGUGGGGUAAAGGCCUACCAAGGCUACGAUCUGUAGUUGGUCUGAGAGGACGACCAGCCACACUGGGACUGAGACACGGCCCAGACUCCUACGGGAGGCAGCAGUGGGGAAUUCUGGACAAUGGGCGCAAGCCUGAUCCAGCAAUGCCGCGUGCAGGAAGAAAGCCUCGGGUUGUAAACUGCUUUGUCAGGGAGAAAUCUUCUGGGCUAAUACCCCGGGAGGAGUGACGGUACCUGAAGAAUAAGCACCGGCUAACUACGUGCCAGCAGCCG
rnacentral:rRNA from 1 species